AUUGAACGCUGGCGGCAGGCCUAACACAUGCAAGUCGAGCGGAUGAGUGGAGCUUGCUCCAUGAUUCAGCGGCGGACGGGUGAGUAAUGCCUAGGAAUCUGCCUGGUAGUGGGGGACAACGUUUCGAAAGGAACGCUAAUACCGCAUACGUCCUACGGGAGAAAGCAGGGGACCUUCGGGCCUUGCGCUAUCAGAUGAGCCUAGGUCGGAUUAGCUAGUAGGUGAGGUAAAGGCUCACCUAGGCGACGAUCCGUAACUGGUCUGAGAGGAUGAUCAGUCACACUGGAACUGAGACACGGUCCAGACUCCUACGGGAGGCAGCAGUGGGGAAUAUUGGACAAUGGGCGAAAGCCUGAUCCAGCCAUGCCGCGUGUGUGAAGAAGGUCUUCGGAUUGUAAAGCACUUUAAGUUGGGAGGAAGGGCAGUAAGUUAAUAUCUUGCUGUUUUGACGUUACCAACAGAAUAAGCACCGGCUAACUUCGUGCCAGCCGCCGCCGUAAGAC
rnacentral:rRNA from 1 species